rnacentral:tRNA from 1 species
GCGGGUGUGGCGGAAUUGGUAGACGCGCGGGUCUCAAAAACCCGUUCCCUUGGGAGUGCCGGUUCGAUCCCGGCCACCCGCACCA